rnacentral:rRNA from 1 species
GAUGAACGCUGGCGGCGUGCUUAACACAUGCAAGUCGAACGAUGAAGCCCAGCUUGCUGGGUGGAUUAGUGGCGAACGGGUGAGUAACACGUGAGUAACCUGCCCUUAACUCUGGGAUAAGCCUGGGAAACUGGGUCUAAUACCGGAUAGGAGCGUCCACCGCAUGGUGGGUGUUGGAAAGAUUUAUCGGUUUUGGAUGGACUCGCGGCCUAUCAGCUUGUUGGUGAGGUAAUGGCUCACCAAGGCGACGACGGGUAGCCGGCCUGAGAGGGUGACCGGCCACACGGGGACUGAGACACGGCCCAGACUCCUACGGGAGGCAGCAGUGGGGAAUAUUGCACAUGGGCGCAAGCCUGAUGCAGCGACGCCGCGUGAGGGAUGACGGCCUUCGGGUUGUAAACCUCUUUCAGUAGGGAAGAAGCGAAAGUGACGGUACCUGCAGAAGAAGCACCGGCUAACUACGUG